AUGAGAUUUUUUUUUGUGGAUGGAAACAUACGAGAUUUGAGUUCACCUAACGCGGUGUCCUGCUACUGCAGGGUAGAUGGAGGCCUUAAAACUGUUGUCAAUGCUAGAAAGUUCGUCCCUGGUGCUAGACUGUGUAUGCAACCUGAUGUCAAACCGAACAAGCGCAAGUCAAGGACCUCACGCAAGGAGAGGUGCCGAACUCAGGCGCCACUUCUGCCUGGACUUCCUGAUGACCUGGCUAUUUCAUGUCUGAUGCGGGUUCCUCGAGUGGAGCACCCUAAUCUUCGUUUAGUCUGUAAAAGAUGGAGCCGACUUUUAUCUGGUAAUUAUUAUUACACACUGCGGAAGAAAUUUGGCAUGGCAGAAGAAUGGGUUUAUGUCUUCAAAAGGGAUCGUGAUCAGAAAAUAUCUUGGCAUGCCUUUGAUCCGGUGCACCAGCUCUGGAAGUCACUUCCUCCAGUUCCACCAGAGUAUUCGGAAGCCGUGGGAUUUGGUUGCGCUGUUCUCAGUGGCUGCUAUUUGUACUUAUUUGGUGGCAAAGGCUCAGUGCGAGGGUCUAUGAGGCGUGUUGUCUUUUACAAUACUCGGACAAACAAGUGGCACCGGGCCCCUGAUAUGCUACGGAAGCGGCAUUUCUUUGGUUCUUGUGUAAUAACCAAUUGCCUCUAUGUUGCUGGUGGGGAGUGUGAAGGGAUACAGAGAACUCUAAGGUCUGCAGAGGUUUACAAUCCAAACAGGAAUAGAUGGUCUUGCAUUACUGAAAUGAGCAUAGGAAUGGUGCCUUUCAUUGGAGUUGUAUAUGAUGGCAAGUGGUUCCUAAAAGGAUUUGAUUCUCACCGGCAGAUUGUGAGCGAGGUCUAUCUGCCAACAUCGAACAUGUGGUCAACCACUGGUAAUGAACUGGUUGCAGGCUUACGGAAUCCAAGCAUUUCGUUUAACGGUCGUCUUUAUUCAGUGGAUUGUCGGGAUGCCUGCAAGCUAAGAGUUUAUGAUGGGGACAAGGGAUUGUGGACAAGGUUCAUGGACAGUAGACGCCAUCUAGGCAGCUCGCGGUCUUUUGAAGCUGUGGCUUUGGUCUCACUGGAUGGAAAGAUCUGUGUUAUCCGUAAUAACAUGGGCAUCACCCUUGUUGAUGUCUGUGACCCAACAACAGUUAUUGAGAUUGACAGUGCCCGCAUGUGGGAGACUUUUGCCCGGAAGGGCCAACACAGAUCUUUCAUGGCAAACUUGUGGUCAACAAUUGUAGGGCGUCAUUUAAAGACCCACAUUAUCCAUUGCCAAGUGCUCCAAGUUUGA
rnacentral:rRNA from 1 species